UACGUAGGGGGCAAGCGUUGUCCGGAAUCAUUGGGCGUAAAGAGCUCGUAGGCGGCUUGUCGCGUCGAAUGUGAAAACCCGAGGCUCAACUUCGGGCUUGCAUUCGAUACGGGCAGGCUCGAGUUCGGUAGGGGAGACUGGAAUUCCUGGUGUAGCGGUGAAAUGCGCAGAUAUCAGGAGGAACACCGAUGGCGAAGGCAGGUCUCUGGGCCAUUACUGACACUGAGAAGCGAAAGCAUGGGGAGCGAACAGG
rnacentral:rRNA from 1 species